GCGCACACACACACACACACGCACACACACACAGGGUGGAGCUGCAAUAGAAUUGUUCAGGGGAGGAGGCAGAGACAAGAAAAUUUUUGAAUUUUUUUUAAAGUCUCUUUAUCGAGUGAGAAAGAUAUUAUUUAGAAAGUUUAAACAUUAACACAAGAAAAAAAGAGCAAUAAUUCCGAACAGGGAAAAAAGACAAGCCUUCUGAAUAAAGUCGAAACUGCUGUAGGACUGUUAGAAUUUACUGAAGUCAACAGGGAGUAUUUAUACAGAAGAAAGGUGCGAUAUAAUCUACAGGUAAACAGAAGACGUCCGCAGAAACAGACCUGGUGGUCAGCUGGUGGCUCGGGUGAGUUUAUUAUAAAAAUCUAAAUCACAGAAGAAGAAACGGUCACGGAAUGUCCGUGUUCGGUCCAUGUUCAUCCAAACAGGACAGAAAGAAUUUCUAGGACAAAACAAAGUAUAUCAUGGUCAGAAGAUGAGCUCACACAGUCAGGCAUAACAUUAUGACCACCUGCUUAAUAUUGUGUUGUUGCUGCCAAAACAGUCCUGACCCGUCCUGCACUGUGUAUUCUGACCCCUUUCUGUCAGAACCAGCAUUAACAAUUUGAUCAACAGUAGCUCGUCUGUUGGAUCGGAUCACACGGGCCAGCCUUCUCUCCCCACGUGCAUCAAUGAGCCUUGACCGCCCAUGACCCUGUCUCCAGUUCACCACUGUUUCUUCCUUGGACCACUUUUGAUAGAUACUGACCACUGCAGACCAGGAACACCCCACAAGAGCUGCAGUUUUGGAGAUGCUCUGAUCCAGUGGUCUAGCCAUCACAAUUUGGUCCUUUUGGUCAAACUCCCUCAAAUCCUUACGCUUGUCCAUUUUUCCUGCUUCUAACAUCAACUUUGAGGACAAAAUGUUGACUUGCUGCCUAAUAUAUCCCACCGAGACUCUCCUGAACACCAGUGUCCUGACAGAUGUGAGGAGGAACACGUGUCUGCAGUAAAGCUCCUGCUUCACUCAAACUAAUCAUUCUUCCACAGCCUUGCAGCAAAGGAUUCCUCAUGAUGAAGAACUCUAACAGGAACCUGUCUGCCAAACUUCUCACCCAAGAAGCUCUUCACCUCUCCUAGAGUUUAAUACACGUGCAGGUUUGAUGAAGGACCUGAGAAGCUCUCUGAGACAUGUCUCAAGGUUUCUUGACAGCCAGCUUACAUUCUCAGUGCUGCUUCUACACUAAACUCAGGUCCUGCGGGCGUUCCUGUGUGCCGGUGUGUUUGUGGUUUUCCACGCCGAUCGAGUACGGAUGAAGAAGGGUAAGGCCUUUUCCUGUUUCUGACUGGAAUGACAGGAAGCUCAGGCCAGUGGAUUUACUCACUGAGGAAAUUGUUGAAAAGCCACAGCAGCGUUCCGAAACUCUCCGCUCUGCUGCCUAGGGUUCAUCUCACAAGAGCGUUCCCGUUUCUGGCUCCCGGAGUUUCCUGAGGGACAGAGAGAGGGAGAGAGAGAGAGAGGGAGAAAGACAGAGGGCAGAGAUGGAGAGAGAGGUUUCCAGAACGGUGUGAGUUCUCCAACUUUCUCUCUAAUGAGCCUGAAAAAACGUCCAUAAAUGUCGACACAAGUCUGGAAAUUUCCCACAUGUUAAAACAUUAAAAACAGGCAGAGAGUUCCCGCCUCUUCCAGUCAGACUGACCCAGGCCUUUAACUUGGUCAGGAAAGCACAGAGGCCACACCUCUACAUUCACAGAAACCACACCUAUUUCACCGCUACUGAAACCAAGAGACCACACCCCCUUUACUACUAAUGAAGCACAGACACCACACCUCCUUUACUGCACCUGAAGCACAGAGGCCACAACUCCUUUACUGUUACUGAGGCAUGGAGACCACACCUCCUUUUUUACUAAUGAAGCACAAAGACCACACCUCUUUUCUGUUAAUGACGCACACAGACCACGCCUCUUUCACCCCCAUUAGUGCUACUGAAGCACAGAGACCACACCUCCUUUACUGUUACUGAAGCACAGAGGCCACUCCUCCUUUACUGUUACUGAGGCACAGAGGCCACUCCUCCUUUACUGUUACUGAGGCACAGAGGCCACUCCUCCUUUACUGUUACUGAGGCACAGAGGCCACUCCUCCUUUACUGUUACUGAGGCACAGAGGCCACACCUCCUUUACUGUUACUAAAGCCCAGAGGCCACACCUCCUUUACUGUUACUGAGGCACAGAGGCCACACCCCCAUUAGUGCUACUAAAGCACAGAGGCCACACCUCCUUUACUGUUACUGAGGCACAGAGGCCAUGCCUAUUUCACUGCUACUGAAACUCCGAGACGACACCUCCUUUACUGCUAAUGAAGCACAAAGGCCACACCCCCAUUAGUGCUACUAAAGCACAGAGGCUUCACCCACAUUAGUGCUACUGAGGCACAGAGGCCACACCUUCUUUACUGCUACAAUAUUUUAAAUAUUGCUACUAUAUUUUAAAUGUAAUUAAGCGACAGAUGUUUAACUUCACAAAUGAAAUUGAACCUGAUGUUCACGUGGAAGUGAAUAUAAGGCUUUAACUUUUCCUCAGUUGGCCUUAAUCUGCUCUCAGACAGUAGGAAAUGACUCUCAUAGUUUUAUUUCACAACAUGACGGUUUGAGCUCUGAGCACAUUUCUGUGUAAUGCAAAACAAAGCAGGACUCAGUGACUCACUUCAGCUCUGAGGUCUAGAACCUGUGAGUUGUACGGUUCUGCACUUUCAGAGUUCCCCAGACACCUAAAGGACUGAAGGAGUCUCACAUGCUCAGUAAUGUUGUUUACAUUUCCUAAUUACAUAAUUAUGGGCUCUUAGCUUCCUAAAUGGGUGUUUACUUGGAGUCUUAGAGAAACACUCUGGUUACUCUGGUGAGAAGGUUACCUUCUCUUCAGAGUAUAAAUAGUGCACUCAGAGGUCAAAGGUUAUGAGACUGCACCAGGUGGCAGGUUAUAGCAGGGGCACAUAAACCCUACAGGUCAGGUAGGGGUCAAUGUGAGAAUGUUUUAAAUGAUACAGUAGUGUGAAAGUCUCAGAGACUGAGAUCUCCAGCUGAGACAGUGACACAGAAAGUUCAGGAAGUCCCGCCCACUAAGAGUGGUUUGAUGAUGUCAUCAGCGUGAGUCAUGCAGUCUUACGGAAAGACACUAAAACACAGUGCAGUGUGCAGCAGCUUGUUUUUUUCUGUUAAAGCCAACGUUAUUUCACACGUAAACUCUGGACUCAGACGAAAUAAAAAAUCCGAAUCACGAAUCCUAGCAAUAAACGCACAGUGGAAAAUACAGACAGGCGGAGUAUUAGGAGGGGGCGGAGUCAGUAUUCAUAGAUUCUGAGAAAUUCAACUCCUAGUUUUGAACAGGCUUGAUGAAAGUUCUGUGAUCUGUUCCUGUUCUGGUCCACACAGAACAUCUCUUUGUUUCCUGAGAAGUUUUCCAUAGAAUUUGCAUUUCAGCUUUGUGCUAUUUGCGUAACGUCACCUGAUGGAGGAACGCUGUUGGUGGUGCUGCGGGAUGCUGCAUUAAAGUGUUCCUCUUAUAUAGCGUCCUUAAUGUAAAGUCACGCAGCAAAGAGUUCUACACGAGGCCUGGAUUUCCAUCAGACAGCUGAAACAAAGAAAACAAAGAAAACAAACACCAAUCAUCAUUUAUUUUCUCAUUAAGUCUUUACUAACAAUCUAAUUGGCUCUUUUAAUUGAGGGGGUGGAGCUUAUAUUACCCAGGUGUCAUGUUGAGCAUUUUUACACCUUCACAAUUAUAUUUGGAUGGAUGGAUGGAUGGAAGGAUUGAUGGAUGGGUGGAUGGAUGGAUGGAGGUCUUUGGAAGCUAGACGGAUGGAUGGAUGGAUGCCCAGAUUAAUGGAUUGGCUCUUGUAAUCAAAGGGGUGGAGCUUAUAUAACUCAGGCACCAUGUUGGGCAUUUUUUCACUUCCACUAUUAUAUUUCAACCUGUGAGCUGUCUUUACUUUAUACUCUCUGUCUCUUGAGUUCAGUAUCAAUUAAUCAAUUAAUUAAUUUAUAAGAAAAUUAGGAAAAUGAAAAGAGAAAAGUACAGAAUGCCAUUUAGUCCAAAUGUAAUAAAUAUCUAAAUGAAUAAAUUAAGUAAGUCAUUAUUCUAAAACAUUUCAUCCUGCUUGUCUUCAGAAUAACCGUCACAUUUAUUUUUUUUAUAUUUCAUAAAGCCAUAUUUUAUUGUUGAAUGUUUUUCUUAUAUUUUUAAGAUGAUGCACAUAUUUCAGAACAAUACAUUUAUUUCCUAGUGUUAGAUCUGGGCUGAGAAAGUAAUGGUGAGAGGCGUGUGCUCACCAUCUGUGUUAAUUUAGUAAACCGCAGAGUCUAAAGUUCAUUUAGCUGAGGAGAGCUGAAUAAACAGAGCGACGUGCUGAAGCAGUAAUUAAGGCCUUUGUUUAUGGUGAAGAUAACCAAUAAAACUGCGUGAGCUCCAUUCUGCUGUCAAAUCCAGACUGUGCUUAAUGUUGGAUUUACACAUCAGGGUGUAUUUUCUUUAAACAUCUCUCUAACGUUCUCUCUAACGUCUUGAGAGAUAAAUCACAGACCGGAUAGUGAAUGUAAAUAAAUACAAAACACAGGAUGCUGUUCAAAGUCCGGUCUGUUCAUAUCCUGCUGUUUUAACACCCGCCGAGCUCCACCUUUUAAACCAAUAACAAACUAGCGAGCUGAUCGUGCAGAACCCACAAUUAUACACAGAAACCACCAGAGAGAGCAAGACUGUUAUCUAAACCAACACGCUAUAAUCCGUUUAUAGUUACGUUUAAUGUUCAUACCUGUGGAACAAGACAAAAAUCCAGCCGUCAUGUUACAGAGAUCCCACAAAAAAUAUACAAACUCCUCUGUCAUGAUGGAGAUGUCGGAAAUCUUAAGUUUCAUCUCUGAGCGUUACAAAGUCCUGACACUGGAGACUCCUUCCACACGUCAUAAAGAAGCUUCUUACACUCACAGAUCUUCUGACUGUUUUUAAACUGUCUAUGAGUACAACAUCAGCUGUACACCUCCAUGCGAAUGAGCCGUUACUAUGGAAACGAUAUUAUAAUUAGAGCAAUAAUACUGUCAGAGCCGCAGUUAUGGUAAUUUAAUCAACACCUUUUUACCUAUCAGAAUGCAGAAUUCUGUAAUUAUGUCACUAACGAUCAAAAACAAAUUCGAAUUUUGUGUGGAUGUGUCACUUUCCUUGCUUUGCUAUCUUCAUUUCUUAUUCUGUGUGUCAUUCCAGAGUUUUCUUUACCUGGACGUGACGCAGAAGUGCAUGUGUGUGUGUGUGUGCGUGUGUGUGUGUGUGUGUGUGUAUGUGUGUGUGUGUGUAUGUGUGUUUAUACAGCUGCCGUCCUGCCUCGAGAGCCGCCAGUCCAAAGUGCCCAUGCUGUGUGCUGUCUGUCUCUGACUGAUGGCCUCACCAUCACACCCAGUGUGUCCUAAUGCCACGCUCUGGUCACUGUAUCAACAGGAAAUGCAUGUGUGAGCGUUUUCCUGUUUCUGGAGUGACUUUCCUCCCAGUUAGAAUGUACCAAAAAUAACAAGCCCACUUCCUUUCCCUCCAUCUAGUCUGAGUAAAACUGCAUUCCUCGAUGCUUCGCAAGCAGUUUGGCCAGCAGUGAGUGACAAAACAUGCGAGAGCUCAGCCAGCUGAGGGACAUGUGGGUUACACCAGGACAGAGACACACCUAUUUCAUCAUAUCCAUGUGGUGAGAGGAGAGGAAUCGAAAGGAUAACAAAAAUAAGUCCUGGUAUUGGUGGAAGAAAUGAAGAACAGGAUGAGUUUCUAUGUACUCACACCGUGUUAUUAUUUAUCAUCAAAGAACAUCAUGGAAAUCUCUAUGAAUAGAACUGACAGCUGGAUGGAUGAAUAGAUAGAUGGAUGGAUGGAUGGAUGGAUGGAUGGAUGGAAGGAUGGAUGGGAGCCUUUGGAAGCUAGAUUGCUGGAUGGAUGGAUGGAUUGAUGGCGGAUGGAUGGAUGGAGGUCUUUGGAAGCUAGAUGGAUGGAUGGAUGGAUGAAUGGAAGGAUGGAUGGAUGGGGGCCUUUGGAAGCUAGAUUGCUGGAUGGAUGGAUGGCGUAUGGACGGAUAGAUGGAUGGAUGGAUGGAGGUCUUUGGAAGCUGGAUGGAUGGAACUCACACAGUGUUAUUAUUUAUCUUAGAUGGAGGGAUGGAUGGAUGGAUAGAUGAAUGGAUGGAGGUCUUUGGAAGCUAAAUGGAUGGAUG